CUGCCGCCUAUACACUCUAACCACUAGGCUACCCUGCCGCCUAUACACUCUAACCACUAGGCUACCCUGCCGCCUAUACACUCUAACCACUAGGCUACCCUGCCGCCUCUACACUCUAACCACUAGGCUACCCUGCCACCUCUACACUCUAACCACUAGGCUACCCUGCCACCUCUACACUCUAACCACUAGGCUACCCUGCCGCCCCUACACUCUAACCACUAGGCUACCCUGCCACCUCUACACUCUAACCACUAGGCUACCCUGCCACCUCUACACUCUAACCACUAGGCUACCCUGCCGCCUCUACACUCUAACCACUAGGUUACCCUGCCGCCUCUACACUCUAACCACUAGGCUACCCUGCCGCCUCUACACUCUAACCACUAGGCUACCCUGCCACCUCUACACUCUAACCACUAGGCUACCCUGCCACCUCUCCACUCUAACCACUAGGCUACCCUGCCGCCUCUACA